rnacentral:lncRNA from 1 species
GGAGAAGGAAUCCAUCAUCACCACUGAGACCACAUUAGCUUUCCACCACUGCUACAGGUGUGUGAGAAGUCUGACGUGGGCCUCAGGGUGCCGGCAGGGCCAGGCUCCUUCUGGAGACAGUAAAGAUGGCCCACUUCUUGUUCAUACAGCAGCGUUGGCUGAAGGUUACCCUAACUGCUGAGGGAUGCCCACUUUCCUCACUCUGUUCCCCUUCCUGGUCAUCAAAGACAUCAAGGGCCCUGAGCAUAUUAGACAAGCCCACAAGACCCAUCUUUGUGGGUUUAUGGGAUACUAGCCAGGCUGCUGGACAGACCUGCCAUCCCACACAUCUGGCACAAGAGGACAGAGAGUCCAAGAGGCAGUAUGCAGAUGUCCAGCUGCUUACAUGAGGAGCUCUGGGAAGAGCUGAGAGUAGCCCAGGUCCACCUCUGGACCUGGAGGGCCCAGGCCUGGCCAGACUCUUCCCAGUGCCUCUGGCUGUGCUUUCCCUUAUAUCUACAAUAAAACCUCCCCCUUAACCAU